ensembl:lncRNA
AUGACUUUUCAUUGUGUCGGUUUCUACCCCCCCUCCACUGUAAUAAUACACACUGGCUCUCGCUCACCUGAGAUCGCCGUCGGGGCUGCAGGCCAGCGGGCUGUUGCCGUGGCAACAGGAGAGGAGGACUUCGACCUGCGAGAGGGCGAGCUGAGCGCUCACAUGCCGGGACACCAGGGACCUGGUGGAGUCCUCCGCGCACAAGGCGAGCAGCAGCUCCAGCACCUGCAGACCAAAUGCAGAGCAAGAACGAGGACGUGAGGAAAAGCUUCUUACUUCUGAGCUCACAGCAAAUUCACUCAGAACCUUCAGCGCUUCAUCAUUCGUUGUUUUUAUUUAUGCUUUAUGUUAAAUUCUACAUUAUCAUCUUUAUUUCUUUACUUAUUGUCGUUAGCAGGAAUCUAUUUGAUUUAUCUGAGUUUCUUGUAGUGAGCUUUAAUCUACAUUUUGUUAUAAUUGAUAAUAAUCAAUAAUAAUAAUAAUAAUAAUAGUUGAUCUAGUGUGUUGAUAAUACGAAGUUCACAUUAGUUUUGGCCCUAAAAACAUGACAUUUAAAAGGAGGGUAACACCUGCGUGCCGCCCUCCCCCCAAUUUCCUGUCAGCGCUCUACUGUCCUCCAACAGAUGAAUGCACUUCGGACCACUAAAGGCUUGUGGUUUCUGCAGAGCACCACACCAAAACAUUUCAACUCUGCACGUAGCAUUUGACCCCCCCCCCCCGUGAUGCUUAGUGGAACAGCGGUGGGAAAGUUGCCUUAGAGCAAUGAGUGACAGGCGGACCUUCGCUGCAGAGUCCGGGUCUUUUGAUUGAAGAACUCCCAAAACUUUAGACACGCAGACUGAGAAGUGCUGGUACCGGGGGGGGGGGGGGGGGGGGAGGGGUGUUAGUUCAGGUCAACACCCAGUCAGUGUGAGUGUGAGUGUGUGUGUGUGAGUGUGAGUAUCGCACCUGGUGAGAUAUUCUGCUAUUUUGGCGUUCUUCAACAAGUCGACCAAAAGGUCGACGGAGUACUUCAGGGUCAACGUGCCGUCGCCGUUGACGAUGAUGUUGAACACGAGCUGGAAGGUCUGGAUGAUGUUUGUGGCGUCAAAGAGCUGCAGGAAGAAGAACAGAUGAGAGAGUGUGUGUGUGUGUGUGUGUGUGUUUGAGCUGUGAAGAUUAUCAGAAAACUUUUGAUAUAUUAAGAAACUAAAAACAAAACUAAAAGAACAUAUUUACAUGUUUUAUGAGCCUGUUUUGUUUAUGAAUAUUUGAACCUCUAAAAUGGAAUAGUGGAAUUUAGUGGAAUUUGCUGAAUGCAUCUUCCUGAAGGUAAAUACUCAUUUUGCAUUUCAUAUGAAAAAUAUAUCAACUCUCAAUGUCAUUUAACUGAUGUGACACAAUGACAGUCUGUAAAAUGUCAUUAAUGCAACAAGAUGAAUUGUGACACAAACAUUGCUAUAAAGAUUUGUCCUGCAGAUAAUCACAUAAAGUGCCCCCCACCUUCUCCCCAACCUUCUCACUGAGCGUGAGGCUGGCCAGGACGGACAGCGUGAACACCACCACCGUCAGGCUGUUGUGAUCCAGGAAGUCCAGCAGAGUUCUGUAGAAGGUCUUCACGUUGUCCUGCAGGAGAACACGCACGUUAAUGCAUCUUCAUCUGACGACACGCCCACCACAGAAAACCUCCCUCGCCUCUCGCUGCUGCGCGUCUGAGGCUGACGGGGUCAAAGGUGUCGUGGUGGGACCCACCAGAGACUUGACGUGGCGCUGCACCGAGCGGUUGUCUCGACACAGGUUGACCAUGAGGCCGAGGCACGGCACGAUGAUGUCAUCGCUGUGGGACUGUCUGCGAGGGGAGACACCAGGUCAAUCAGACAGCUCCCUCAUCCCAUCGUAGCGGGGGGACGGAGGGGACGGGGACGGGGCUUACAUGUUGGUCAUGAGGAAAGCCACCAGCUCGUGGAUGUAGUUUGCAGACUGCAAGACGCGAGUGUUGUAAGUCAGUUUCUGCAGCAGCUGCAAACACUGCAGGACACACGCGAGACAACAUGAGACAUUUCUGUGGGACAUGUGACCUGAGAGAAACGGGACAAAUGCCUCGUUAGACCGGAGAGGAACAUAGAAGCAAUAAUGGGCAAAUACACGUCACACCAUGAAAUAACCUGAAGGUCAUUCACUUAACACCACCUACUCCACCAACACAACAACACCGCCCACAGUUAUGGAAAUAGGCUUCAUAGUUUUUUCAUUUUUAAUGGCAUGUCUUUAAAACACCUCGACCAACUGUCCCACGAUGUAUUUCCUUCAAACGUCUUUCUACAAAAGCAACAGCUUUUUACUCACUGGUUGUGAAGGAGGGGACUCACCUGGAGCACCAGGGGCUCCUCGGGCGAGGCGCGGCGGCCGUGGACCACGGACGCCAGCGUGCUGGUCAGGUUGUACCUGCUGUUGAGAAUCUCCAGACCGUCGUCAUCACAGGCUGAAGGAGAGAGAGCUGGCGGUUCAUCUUCAGCGAACCCUCACUUCUCCUUUGGCUUUCUCACACAUGGAAUCGUUUCAAAAGGACUCGUGUAUCUAGUGCGUACCGAGUUGCGCCAGCAGGGAGAUGACGGAGCUCGUCAGGGUGGGGCUGGUGUCGGGGUUUCCAGCCAGCUCCACCAGGCCCCUCACACACUCGCGCGGCAUUACCUGACCCGAGGACAGCAGCUGGUCACAUUUAAGGCCCGACACCUCCUGCGAGAACGCACACACACAUACAAGCAUCGUCAACAAAACCUACCAAUGUGCACAACGUCACCUCAUUGCUUGUUGUCAUGACGAUUUCUAUUCCCCUCAAGCUAGCAGACGUUUUCCAUGCAAAGUAGAUUUAGGGGAGAUUAUAGACUGUUAAUUAGUUUAUCUAUAUAACAUGAAUCAUAUACGGUCAUCGGAUGGUUUAUACUGUAUAUUAUGCUUAUCAACGCAUUACCACCUCCUUAGUGCUGUCAAGGUAACUUGACAGGUACUUGGCCAAAUCUGUGUUUUUCUGAUCAGAACAUCUGGGCUCAGACGGGUCAUCACGAGGGGUCACUGUGUAAC